rnacentral:rRNA from 1 species
UACGAAGGGGGCUAGCGUUGCUCGGAAUCACUGGGCGUAAAGCGCACGUAGGCGGAUAUUUAAGUCGGUGGUGAAAUCCUGGAGCUCAACUCCAGAACUGCCUCCGAUACUGAAUGUCUUCGAGUCCGGGAGAGGUGAGUGGAACUGCGAGUGUAGAGGUGAAAUUCGUAGAUAUUCGCAAGAACACCAGUGGCGAAGGCGGCUCACUGGCCCGGUACUGACGCUGAGGUGCGAAAGCGUGGGGAGCAAACAGGG